rnacentral:tRNA from 1 species
GCCCCCGUAGCUCAGGGGAUUAGAGCACUGGCCUCCGGAGCCGGGUGCGCAGGUUCGAAUCCUGCCGGGGGCG